rnacentral:rRNA from 1 species
UUGAACGCUGGCGGCAUGCUUUACACCUGCCGGUCGAACGGCAGCGCGGGCUUCGGCCUGGCGGCGAGUGGCGAACGGGUGAGUAAUGCAUCGGAACGUGCCCAGUAGUGGGGGAUAGCCCGGCGAAAGCCGGAUUAAUACCGCAUACGACCUGAGGGUGAAAGCGGGGGACCGAAAGGCCUCGCGCUAUUGGAGCGGCCGAUGUCGGAUUAGCUAGUUGGUGGGGUAAAGGCUUACCAAGGCGACGAUCCGUAGCUGGUCUGAGAGGACGACCAGCCACACUGGGACUGAGACACGGCCCAGACUCCUACGGGAGGCAGCAGUGGGGAAUUUUGGACAAUGGGGGCAACCCUGAUCCAGCCAUGCCGCGUGCGGGAAGAAGGCCUUCGGGUUGUAAACCGCUUUUGUUCGGGAAGAAAUCCUCUGGGCUAAUACCCCGGGGGGAUGACGGUACCGGAAGAAUAAGCACCGGCUAACUACGUG